GAUGAACGCUAGCGACAGGCCUAACACAUGCAAGUCGAGGGGCAGCAUAAAAUUAGCUUGCUAAUUUUGAUGGCGACCGGCGCACGGGUGAGUAACGCGUAUGCAACCUACCCAUAAGAGGGGGAUAACCCGGAGAAAUUCGGACUAAUACCGCAUAAUAAUGGUGAUUGGCAUCAAUUACUAUUUAAAUAUUUAUAGCUUAUGGAUGGGCAUGCGUCUGAUUAGAUAGUUGGUGAGGUAACGGCUCACCAAGUCUACGAUCAGUAGGGGUUCUGAGAGGAAGGUCCCCCACACUGGUACUGAGACACGGACCAGACUCCUACGGGAGGCAGCAGUGAGGAAUAUUGGUCAAUGGGCGAGAGCCUGAACCAGCCAAGUCGCGUGAAGGAAGACGGCCCUAUGGGUUGUAAACUUCUUUUGUAUGAGGGUAAAGGAUAGUACGUGUACUAUUUUGCAAGUAUCAUACGAAUAAGGAUCGGCUAACUCCGUGCCAGCCGCCGCCGUAACAC
rnacentral:rRNA from 1 species